CCUGGCGGCCAUAGCGCCGUGGAACCACCUGAUCCCAUGCCGAACUCAGAAGUGAAACGCGGUAGCGCCGAUGGUAGUGUGG
rnacentral:rRNA from 1 species